rnacentral:rRNA from 1 species
UACAGAGGUCUCAAGCGUUGUUCGGAUUCAUUGGGCGUAAAGGGUGCGUAGGCGGCGCGGUAAGUCGGGGUGUGAAAUCUCGGGAGCUUAACUCCGAAACUGCAUUCGAUACUGCCGUGCUUGAGGACUGGAGAGGAGACUGGAAUUUACGGUGUAGCGGUGAAAUGCGUAGAUAUCGUAAGGAAGACCAGUGGCGAAGGCGGGUCUCUGGACAGUUCCUGACGCUGAGGCACGAAGGUCAGGGGGAGCAAACGGG